rnacentral:misc_RNA from 1 species
UACGGAGGGUCCAAGCGUUAUCCGGAAUCACUGGGUUUAAAGGGUGCGUAGGCGGCUUGGUAAGUCAGGGGUGAAAGCCCGGCGCUCGACGUCGGAAUUGCCUUUGAUACUGCUGAGCUUGAAUUAGGUUGAGGUAGGCGGAACGUGACAUGUAGCGGUGAAAUGCAUAGAUAUGUCACAGAACACCGAUUGCGAAGGCAGCUUACUGGACCUGGAUUGACGCUGAGGCACGAAAGCGUGGGGAGCGAACAGG